rnacentral:rRNA from 1 species
AGAGUUUGAUCAUGGCUCAGGAUGAACGCUGGCGGCGUGCUUAACACAUGCAAGUCGAACGAACCUUCGGGUUAGUGGCGGACGGGUGAGUAACGCGUGAGAAUCUGCCCUCAGGAGGGGGAUAACGGUUGGAAACGACCGCUAAUACCCCAUAUGCCUAUUGGUGAAAUGAAUUUCGCCUGAGGAUGAGCUCGCGUCUGAUUASCUAGUUGGUGAGGUAAUGGCUCACCMAGGCUUCGAUCAGUAGCUGGUCUGASAGGAUGAUCAGCCACACUGGGACUGAGACACGGCCCAGACUCCUACGGGAGGCAGCAGUGGGGAAUUUUCCGCAAUGGGCGAAAGCCUGACGGAGCAACSCCGCGUGAGGGACGAAGGCCUCUGGGCUGUAAACCUCUUUUCUCAAGGAASAASAUAUGACGGUCCUUGAGGAAUAAGCCACGGCUAAUUCCGUGCCAGCAG